rnacentral:misc_RNA from 1 species
UCGAUGGACUUGCACAGAAUU